AGACAGCUGCACUCACCUUUCUACCUGCCAGCUAGAAGGCAGCCAGUCGUCGCCGCUCGGACGUGAACGCAGCAGCAGCAGCAGCAGCAGAGGCUCCUUCAUCACCGCCGGGGUCAGGUGAAGGGACCGGGUGACCCCUCGGCCGGGACAGGGAGAACACCUGCUGCUGCUGAUUAACAAGUCGCUCAGCUGACACGACAACGAGUCGACGCCUGAAUGAACUUUAUUUGUUUUAGUGACAACAAGACACCGGCUCUUGUUUCUCUUCACAAGACCGUCCUGCAGCAGUUCUGUUGCCCGCACAGCUGGAAACUUUGCCUGGGAAUUUCUGUGCUCAAAAAUUUCAGUCAUUGUUUCUGGUCGUGUGUGUAAUGUGCAUCCGAGGCCGAGCGGGCCCACCUAUCCCACGCCUGCCUGCCCAUCUGUCCUCCACAGGGCAGCUUUGGAUGGAUUUUUAACUUGCAAAACUGGACUGCAUUUGUGAGAAAAUGUCUCAAGUUAGUAGUAAUUAACAUAUGAGUGAGCACAGAGAAAACGUGCCCCAUCAUAGCAGGAUUUACUGUUAAAGGCCUCGUGUCUGAUUGACAGGCUCACCUGAACAGCACCUGAGCUACAGUGUGAUUUUGAAACUUGUUCUUUUUUUAAAAUCUCCCAACAGCAGCAGCAGCAGCCAUUUUUCUAGUUGUAGAGGCGCAGCUCGCUCUGGUUCAGUUGUGACAUAUCCCACAGAGGGCAUGGCAGCGGUGUUACCACAUGCAGACUAACCUGCAGUAUGUCAGGUAUGUUGGUGAACCAGCUCCACUCAGCCGUUCUCAGAUGAUGGGUGUGACUCUGUACUUUCCUUCAGAGUGGCACGAUUUAAUUAAAAUGCAGACAAUAAACUGCUGACAGUAAACACACCAGGAACUCGUUGCACAAUGAACCCGCUCGGCACAUGAUUUACUUUUAAAUGACGAAGAGAGGAACUGAAUUACUGCUGAAUGAAAGUGUUUGUAAUUUUCUUUUUUACAAUAAAAACGCAUCUGAGGACAAAUGUUCCAAAUUAGCUGUUUGGGGUUUUUUUCUAUGUGUGUUUGUUCCUGCACAGAAAUAAACAUGACAAACUAAUGCUGGUACAGAACCUGCUGCUGUGUGUGUUUACACCUGGAGGUCUGCACAUAAAGAAGUAGGUUCCUUCAAACUGGUUCCAUUUCAGUGUGUGAAUACUGAUCAGAAGGACUUGUGUCAACACUCGGAGCAGGUGAGUGACACGUUAUCCAGAACAAACAUGACGUGAAGCUGGAUGUCAGCCAGUCUGUCACUUCUCAGGUUUGUUAUAUUUAGUUUGAGAUAAAAAGUUUCAGGUGGAAUCUGGAGUUUCAAACGUCCUGAAGGCGGCUUAAAACCUGCACGACGGGUCAGUUUGGUGAAGCCAGGUGGUGGGAAUACGGGUUAAAGAGGAGCUCAGAACGUCUGGGAUAGGAACACAGUGAGCGGCGUCGCGUUUCAGUGGAAAUGCUGAUACAGUUUAUUACAUUUUUAAGAUGCUAUAAGUAAAAGCAACUUCAUUUCACUUAAAAAAAGUUCUGUUACAGCAAGUGCCAACACGUCGGUGUUGAGUCAUGAUUGGUAGAUUGCAUACAAGCCCUAGAUGAAGGAAAAUAAAAAAACACUUGGAUCCGAUGUCUGACGCACAACAUCCACAAAUACACAAUCAAAGACGCAUCCUGAUCACAUCACUUUGUUUUUUUUUUUUUGCUCCCCAACUGUCGACCACAAGGUGGCGCUCUCGUCACAGAAUAAAUUAGGAGACCCACUUCUGUGGGCGUGGCAGCGCUGCUACAACCACGACUACUUUAAGCUUUUUUCAAAUCCCUGAAAAAAAAAAAAAAAAA